rnacentral:rRNA from 1 species
UACGUAGGGGGGCAAGCGUUGUCCGGAAUUAUUGGGCGUAAAGCGCGCGCAGGCGGUCAUUUAAGUCUGGUGUUUAAUCCCGGGGCUCAACCCCGGGUCGCACUGGAAACUGGAUGACUUGAGUACAGAAGAGGAGAGUGGAAUUCCACGUGUAGCGGUGAAAUGCGCAGAUAUCGGGAGGAACACCAGUAGCGAAGGCGGCUCUCUGGGCCGGUACCGACGGCUGAGACGCGAAAGCGUGGGGAGCGAACAGG